UGUGGCUGGAGCGCUUCCCGUAGCCUCGGGGAAGGAGCAGGAUUUCGAGGACCACUAGUUGGACCCCAUCCUCGUGCUGGAGGAACAGGAGUUCAUGGCCUCCUUGAUGCCCAGCCUCCUACAUUCUAGAUGUCUAGAGGCUCCAGGCAGGGCCAGCUUCAUGGAAAUGCAAAACUGCAACCGCACAGGGCCUUGCACUUGGAAGGGCCCUGCAUUUGGUAAUGUUCUGCUAUCACCGUCUGCUGGCUUAAUAAUUUUCAAAGAGGCUCUGGAUCUUCAUUUUGAACUGGGUCCUACAAAUUAUAUCCUGACCCCAGGCUGACAAACUUGGUCUAAAACUAACCAAAUAACAGUGUUUUAACAGCAAUCCCACAUUUAUGGUGAGUUCUCCAGUACAAACCUGAAAUUUAUCUGCUGCUCACUUAGGUGCUCUUGGACAUGUCAUUCAGUCUUCCUACAUUUCAGUUUCCUCAUUGACAAAAUAAAGACAACAGAUGACACCUUCUACUUUCUUUAUUUUCAAGGUUGUAUUAUCUCUAAGUAAAAAGAGGUUAUAAUUGUAAAAAA
rnacentral:sRNA from 1 species